rnacentral:tRNA from 1 species
CGGAAAUAGCUCAGUGGUAGAGCACCACCUUGCCAAGGUGGGGGUCGCGGGUUCGAACCCCGUUUCC